AACAACAAAGUUAUCGGUAGUAUCCCUUCUUCGAUAUGCAACUCCAGCUAUCUUGAAGUACUUGAGUUAUCAAACAACAGUUUGAAUGGCAUAAUACCACCAUGUUUAGCAGAAAAGAGCAGCACACUGAAAGUACUGAACCUGGGAAAGAACAAUCUCAUAGGAGAUAUACCUGAAAAGUUUUCUUAUAAUUGUGAGUUGCAGAGCCUUGACCUCAGUCAGAAUCACUUAACAGGUCUGCUUCCUCGUUCUUUGUCCAACUGCACAAAGUUAAAGGUAAUAAAUAUUGGAAACAACAAGAUCAAGGAUACUUUUCCCUGCUGGUUGAGGAACAUGUCAGAUCUUCGUGUACUUGUAUUACGCUUCAAUGGUUUCCAUGGGAACAUUGAUUGCUCACGUGUGAAUUCCAACUGGACUGCACUUCAAAUCAUGGACCUAGCUUCCAACAAUUUAGGGGGUGUUCUUCCCCGAGGUUCAUUCUUGGAGCUAAAAGCAAUGAUGGCUGACCCAUCUUUAACACAUUCACGCUCUGAUAUCUUGCAUUUUGAGUCUUCUAUUAGGCCAAUAUAUUAUCAGGACAGAGUCACUCUUUCUCUUAAAGGACAAGAUGUUACACAGACAAAGAUCUUUAUCUUCUUCACCUCCAUUGACUUUUCAAGUAACAAUUUUGUGGGGAACAUACCAGAGAUAGUUGGAGAUCUCAGAUCACUUAAUCUUCUCAAUAUUUCACACAACAAUCUCACGGGUCAAAUACCUCCAGCAAUUGGAAAUUUGAAGCAAUUGGAAUCACUGGACCUCUCAUUCAACAAGUUAGGUGGCAAUAUCCCAGAAAAGCUUGCUAGCCUCACAUUUCUUUCCUUCUUAAAUUUAUCAUCUAAUGAAUUGGUCGGAAUGAUUCCACGAGGCAACCAAAUUCAAACAUUUGGAGAAAGUUCUUUUGAAGGAAACAAGGGGCUAUGUGGGUUUCCGCUGAACAGAACUUGCAAGAAUAAUUCAGCAGAUGCACCUUCUGAACCAGAAGUUGAAGAGGAAGAAUUCAUUUCAAUGACGGAGAUUUAUGUAAGUGCUAUGUUGGGAUUUAUUGUUGGUAUUGGGAUCAUCUUCCUACCACUUCUGUUCUCAAAAAGAUGGAACCAGUCGUACAACAGAAUAAUUAACAGAUUAAUUUUAAGGAUAUUUCAGCAGCAAAAUCAAGAAAAGAAAACUAGUAGCAGUAGUGUAGCAUCUUGGAAAAAGGCAGCAGGGAAAUCAAGAGGCAGACAUUAAUUUCACAGGAUGUAACACUUCCUUGCAGCAUGCUGCUCACUAUUAGUACUUCUAAUUGUUUCCACUAUGAGUUAUCUGUGUUUGUUUACCUUUCAUGAUUCAUUUUAGUUGCUUCUUAUUACAUAGAAGAACACAAAGCAAUCUUGCAUUCUGUUUUAGGUAACGGUCAGUGAAUAGCCAUAACUAAACUGAUAACAACCUUUCUCAUUUUUUAAGAAACAAAAGCCAACUAGGCCAUUUUCUAAGUACAAUAUAGUUUAUACAAGUUCUCCCUUAUCUUCGAAGUUAGAGUCGUUCUGCGCAGACAAUAAGACUUCUUGAAGUUCCUCACUGAUGUCUUUAUCGCCAUCCUGCUCUUCAGCCACUUCUUGUUGGGAGAACUUAUCCUGCCCUUCUCAGACAACGUCAACUGAGAUUUGACAGGCCGAUGACAAAUACCAGUUUUCUUUUAAAAUAAUUCCUUCUGAGUUUUCCAGUCAUCAGCUGUCUUCUUGACCAUGUCUCCUAUCAAUGUCUGGUUCUGUGUUAUGUGCUUUAUGUUUUCUACAUCCACCAUGUCACUAGCCCCUUUGAUAGCUAGAUCUUUGGCCUGUGCAUAUUCUGCCGAUUUUUGCUUGAGCAAAUCCACCUCAUAUCCAUGUGGGUGAAGUGCUCAAUCCGGCUAUUUGCAAAUAACUUUUGCACGCUAUUUGGAUACUUGCAUUUUGUAUUUCUUCCAGUUCAUCAUCUCCCCGAUGCCGAGGUUUCAUAUACAUCCACAAAGCCAAAAAGAAACAUGUUCCUAUCUAGUAUAUGUUUGACUAGAGCUGGGACUAGUUUAACAUCUUUGGCCUUUGCCUUAGCGACAAGACUUCUAAGAUUCUUCAACUCUCCCAGAGAUAUAUAAAUCUUGAAAGGAGGCAGGCCUGAAUGGCCGUCUCAUAAAGGCAAUAUAAUCCACCUAGUCUCCUUAAAAGAGAAUGAGUAGAGACUAUGUAACCACUGCAGUAUGCAUAGAGUGAUUGUAUAAAGCAUGCCUGAUCUUUAGAUGGACUAUAGGAGAACUUUUUAGAAAUCCACACUCUUCAUUUCUGCAAAAGUAGGAGAUCCACCCUUGGCAAACUCAUUUAUAUGCUCCUCGAUGUCUAAUUUGAAUGGCACAAUGUCCUUGUUGACUUCUUUUUCUUUUUUUUCUUUUUUGUCCUUGUUGACCGCCUUGACAUCAAAUUUUCAAAGGCAUUUGACAGCUUGUUGAACCUUUAAGCUUCCUGCUUAACCCUAAUUCUCUCCUUGCAAAUCCUUUAUGUCCAUUAUCCACGCUAAAUGGCUCCUGCACAAUUUUUGCCUGAAAGUGUAUGAUUUGGACAAAAGUUCAUCUACUAUACAGUAGAUAAUGUGGUACACUGGUGUGGGUACUUCACCCUUAACUAGAGGUUUCAGGUUCGAGCCCUGGAUAUGGAGAAAAUCAUGUUGGGAGCGCCACCCCGAAUGGGCCCUGCAGUGCGCAGUCCGAAUUUAGUCGAAGCUCCAAUGUGGGCUCCAGACACCGGAUGGAAAACCAAAAAAAAAUAAAAUGUAUUAAUGCAUAUUCAUGUAACGUUCUCAAAAGUAAACCAAAGUAUAUUCGAUCAGACUUCACAUUUGAUUUGAAAUUAACAGAAAAAUCAAUUCACGAAACAGAGUUUUGAGCUUGAAAACCUUGAUUAUGAAGGAUUCAGAGUUGAUUUCUAUGAACAAAGACAGCAUCCGAACUCAGAUAGUUCCUUCGAAUUCACAAGUCUGAAUGUUAAAUUAUGUCUUAAUCCUAACUCACCCACAAGUCUUACAAGGAGUCCAUCUAUCUCAAUAACCAGUAAUGUGGAAUUUUUGCUUUAACACCCACCUCACGCCCAGUGCCCUGUUGCGUGGACACUUUUGGGCAAUUUUUUACCACCUCACGCUUAGUGAUGUCAGUGCUUAGCAUCUUGUGCGUGGACAAUAAUUUGGGCAAUUUUUGAUUUUUUUUUUUUUUUUGGGCCGGUGAGAUAGCCUUGUUCUAAUAUCAUGUUAAAUUAGGUUUAAGCCUAAUUCACAUCCCAAAAACUAACUCUAACAGAGGAGUAUUGUUCAAACCUUAUAAGAGUCCACCAUCUCAUUAACCAUGACUUUUUGCUUUUAACACUGAAUAGCACACAAACUUUCAUGGUGGACAUAUUUAAGCUGAUCAACGAUCAAUCUGCAAAAAAAAAACAUCUAUGUAUACACGUAUUUGAUCAACGAGCUAUGAAGGUUUUCCCGCCAAAAAAACUUCGAGAAAGAGGGAAAAUGCCCAAGAAACGCGUUUGGUGUGUGUUUAUAAAAGAUUUGAAACCUACUAUUAAUAAGUACUACUAAUAAAUUUGUCAAUUUUAAUUUAAGAUUAACCCAGAUUACUCCAUUCAUCUCAAAAAUAAUUGAAUUGUUUCACCUCAUUUGAUAUUCAAAUUUCAAUUAUAUUUCGGUUGUCUCAAUUUAUAUAACAUCAGGUAAAUAAUAUUACUCCUGCUAUCCCAUAUUUUUUGUUUAGUGUGACAUAUUUUAUUUCUUAGUUUAUCAAAAAAUAAUAAUUAGAAAACUAAGAAAACAUUGUCAAUCUCAAUUUCUGAAUCAAAGGAGGGAAUACCGUAUUUAUAAAGUUAGAUAUGAGAUGUUAAUUUCACAUAGUACAAAGUACAAACUAAGGAGUAAGGAUGCUGUUCAAAUAACAAUGCUUGGGUUUUACACAGCUUAUGAUUGGAGUAUUUAUUUUUGUCAGAUGUUUUGUUUCUUACUUAAUAUAUAUAUAUAUUUGUGACACGUUUCAACAAAAAAAAAAAAAAAAACUAAUGAUGGGAAUAUAACUUUCUUACUACUAUAUACUAAGAUAAUUUCACAUGUAAAUAUAGACAAUAGUCAAAACAAAUAUAAGCAACAUCCAGUGGAAAACCGUGUAGGUCCACACUCCAGUUUCCACUGUCUAUCAAUUUCAAAAAUAAAUUGAUAUUAUAAGUAGACACGCGAUGUCAGCGUAUUUAAAAUAAUACAUAAAUUAAUCAUCUUGCUUUACUCAUGUUUGGUUGGCGCUAGUAUUUAAAAUAGGCAAAAAAUGGAUCUGUUAGCCCAAAAAAAUAAUUAUUCAAACAAAUCCUGCUGUUUAUUUGCGAGGAUUUUGCUAUUUUAUACGUUUCAGAUCUGAAGAAACUUGGAACUUCUUUUUCUGUUGAGAGUCCAAAUGAGAAGUGAAAUGUUUUCCCAGCUUUUCUUGAUCCUUCUACUCUCCAUCUGCUGUAAAACGAGUGAUGUAGUGGCAGCUAAUUCCAGUAAAUGUCUUGAGGAUCAGAAGAUGUUGCUGCUGCAGCUGAGAAAUAAGCUUACUUAUGAUUAUGAAAUAUCUACCAAGCUAGUGAAGUGGAGCCAGAUGAUUGACUGCUGUCAAUGGGAGGGUGUCACUUGCAACGGUGAAGGCCAAGUUAUUGGUCUUGACCUUAGUGCUGAAUCAUUCUCGGGCAGCAUCAAUCCGUUAGCUAAUCUCAAGUAUCUCUCUGUUAUCCGUCUUGAUGGGAACAAUUUAUCUGCACCAUUUCCAGAGUUCUUCGCGGAAUUCACCAAUCUAACUGUCUUGAGUCUAAGUUCCUGCAACUUGAUAGGAGAAGCACCUCAGAAGAUAUUCCAGGUACCAACUCUACAGACAAUUGACUUAUCAGUAAACGAUAUGCUUGGGGGUUCUUUACCUGAAUUUCCUUCAAAAGGAUCUUUACAAUCACUGGUGCUUACUGCUACAAAAUUUUCAGGAAUUUUACCCGAGUCCAUAGGGAACCUUAGGAAGUUGUCGCGUGUUGAACUUAGAGCUUGUAAUUUUAUAGGUUCAAUUCCAUCUUCUAUGGAAAAUCUAACCCAGCUUGUUCUUCUGGAUUUCGAGUUGAAUAGCUUCACGAGUUCAUUUCCAUCUUUUAAGCUGUCCACAAAUCUCACUCGUAUAUACUCUGCUGGAAAUAGAUUGACAGGUAUAUCAUCCGACUGGCAAGGCCUUGAGAAUCUUGAGUAUCUUGACUUGAGUAACAAUUCAAUUUCUGGUCUCAUUCCAGCAUCAUUGUUUUACCUACCCUCACUUUCAGAUUUAGUUCUGUCCAACAACAAGUUUUCUGGCCAAAUAACUGAAUUACAAAAUGUGAUUUCUCCACUAACAAGUCUUGACUUGAGUUCCAACAAAUUGGAAGGGCCAAUACCUGAGUUUUUAUUUGACCUGCAUGAUCUUUACGGUCUUUCACUUUCAUUCAACAAGUUUAACGGUACUGUACAGUUGAAGAAGUUCACAAACAUCAAUAAACUUGUAGAUCUUGAUCUGUCCCACAACAGUAUAUCAGUUGACACAAAUAUAAGUGAGUCGGACCUUGCCCUGCUACCCCAGCUGAACAGUUUCAUGUUAGCGUCAUGCAAUCUGCAGAAUAUUUCCUUCCUCAAGAACCAAUCAAAGUUGUCGAUGUUAGAUCUCUCAAACAGCCAACUUACGGGUGAAAUACCAAACUGGCUGGUGGAAAUCAAUGAUGGACUUCUCCGUUUUCUGAAUCUUUCUUUCAAUCAAUUCACACAUCUUCAAGAACCUUAUACAUUUGGCUUCCUGAAUUUCCUUGAUCUGCAUUCAAAUCUGCUCACUGGGGUUAUUCCAGUACCACCACGUGCAGCUGCUUAUAUUGACUUCUCCAACAAUAACUUUUCUACUUUUCCACCUGACUUUGGCAAUUAUCUAGUAACUGCUCGGUUCCUCUCAAUUGCAAACAACAAAGUUAUCGGUAGUAUCCCUUCUUCGAUAUGCAACUCCAGCUAUCUUGAAGUACUUGAGUUGUCUAACAACAGUUUGAAUGGCAUAGUACCACCAUGUUUAGCAGAAAAGAGCAGCACACUGAAAGUAUUGAACCUGGGAAAGAACAAUCUCAUAGGAAAUAUACCUGAAAAGUUUUCUUAUAAUUGUGAAUUACAGAGCCUUGACCUCAGUCAGAAUCACUUAACAGGUGUGCUUCCUCGUUCUUUGUCCAACUGCACAAAGUUAAAGGUAUUAAAU
rnacentral:lncRNA from 1 species